AAUAACAAAACAAAAGAACGACAUUCAUAACGGUGCUUCACCACCGUUCAACAUCUUCACCAUCUUCACCAUCUUCUUCUCUCAAAAUCUUUAUCAUUCUUCCUUCAUCACACAACCACCACCGUUGCCGACGACACAACCACAACCACCACUAGAGGUGACACUAUAAAAGUAGGCGGCGCAAGGGAGAGCAAAGGGGGUCGUCGUGCUGUAAUUUGGAGCAUUUAGUGCUUGAAUUAGGGGCGUUUGCAAGUUAUUUUUCAUCCCCAAUCUUCUAUAUUAGUGGAUUUCGGUUUUAUUGAGGAGCCGUAUUGACUGAGCUAGUUGGUUUGAUAUAGUUUAAAAGGUUCAUGAAGGCUUAGAGUCGGGGUAUGGGCGGAGAGCAACGUCCACUAGUUUUGCGUAAAUAUAGUUAUAAUAGUUCUGUUCUGGUGCAUUUCUUAUAUAUAAUCAAUAUUUUGAGACUUAGGGUUGUAAAUAUUAAUCCACCUAAAUCUUUAUUCGGUUGGGUUGUAAUAGUUUAAAAUAAGCUUUAAUUUAGUUUUGGUGCAGGUAGUUCUUCCUUAGCGAUUAUUCUCGUAAUAAUCGUGCAAUAACACGUUUGGAUUUCGAGUAGUUAUACAGGAAUUUCGUUGGUAUUUGAAA